CGGAUACGAGUACAGUGGCGCACGGGUGAGUAACACGUAGGUGACCAACCAUACCGGUAGAGGACAACCCGGAGAAAUUCGGGCUAAUACUCCGUACGUUGGAUAAAUUUGAAAGUAAUCCAAGAAAGUAUGCCUCUUCAAUGCAUACGCCGGAUGACGGGCCUGCGCGACAUUAGUUUGACGGUGGGGUAACGGCCUACCGUGGCGACGAUGUCUAGCGGAUUUGAGAGAAUGGUCCGCCACACUGGAACUGAGACACGGUCCAGACUCCUACGGGAGGCAGCAGUGGGGAAUAUUGCGCAAUGGGGGAAACCCUGACGCAGCAACGCCGCGUGAGUGAGGAAGGCCCUAGGGUUGUAAAGCUCUGUCAGAUAGGAAGAAUAGCACGUUCCCGAAUAGGUUGCGUGUUUGACGGUACUAUCAGAGGAAGCACCGGCUAACUUCGUGCCAGCAGCCGCGGUAAUACGAAGGGUGCAAGCGUUACUCGGAAUUACUGGGCGUGAAGCGCGCGCAGGCGGAUUGGUAAGUCAGAUGUGAAAUGUCGGGGCCCAACCCUGAAAUUGCGUCUGAAACUAUUAAUCUAGAAUCUUGGAGAGGGAAGCGGAAUUUCGCAUGUAGGGGUAAAAUCCGUAGAGAUGCGAAGGAACACCAGAGGCGAAGGCGGCUUCCUGGACAAGAAUUGACGCUGAGGCGCGAAAGCGUGGGGAGCAAACAGGAUUAGAUACCCUGGUAGUCCACGCCGUAAACGUUGAGCACUAGAUUUAGCGGGUAUUGAUCCCUGCUGAGUCGACGCUAACGCAUUAAGUGCUCCGCCUGGGGAGUACGGCCGCAAGGCUAAAACUCAAGGAAUGACGGGGCCGCNAAGCGGUGGAUAUGUGG
rnacentral:rRNA from 1 species